rnacentral:lncRNA from 1 species
CAGGAUGGUCUCGAUCUCCUGACCUUGUGAUCCGCCCGCCUCGGCCUCCCAAAGUGCUGGGAUUACAGGCAUGAGCCACCACUCCUGGCCUAUACGUCUUUUUAGUGGAAUAUAGAUACAGAAGAAAUAAGGUAAAUUAGAUCACUAGGAGUUGUAGUGAAUGAAGUCAGAGAAUAUAUAACUUCUCUUUUUGCACAAAAAAAGAUAAAGGAAAAACUCUAAUAUGUUUUUAGGUAGAAAAAGAGCAAGGAAAAACUGAGGCUGUGAGAAAGGUAUAAUUGGUAUGGCAGGUCUCUGGAGCAGGAGAGGACAGGGUCAGCUUCAUAGAUGGGGUCAUUAGGAUGUGAAAGAUGGAGCAAUGACUUCUCUGAGACCAGAAAUAAUAACAAGAAUACAAGCAAAGUAACUAGCACAAUUCCCAGUGUGAUGGUUAAUUUUAUGUGUCAACUUGACUGGAUCACAGGAUACCCAGGUAUUUGCUCAAACAUUAUUCUUGGUCUGUCUAUGAGGGUGUUUCUGGAUGAAAUUAACAUUUGAAUCUAUAGACUGAGUAAAGCAAACUGCCAUCCCUAAUGUGGGUGGACCUCACGCAAUCAGUUGAGGGCUAAAUAGAACAAAAAGGCUAAGUAAGAGAGAGUUCCUUCUGCCUGACUGCCUUUGAGCUGGAACAUUGGUGUUUUUCAGGCUCAAACUGUAAUACUGGCUCUUCUCAGGUCUUGAGCCUACUUGCCUUCAGAUUGGAACUUUACCAUCUGCUCUCCUGGUUCUCAGGCCUUCAGGGGAGUCUAGAACUAUGCCACUGACUCUCCUGGUCUCCAGUUUUUCAACUUCAAAUCUUGGGAUUUAGUCUCGAUGAUCAUGUGAGUCAAUUCCGUAUAAUAAAUCUCAGACAGAUAGAUAGAUAGAUAGAUAGAUAGAUAGAUAGAUAGAUAGAUCGAUAGAUAGAUCUAUCUUUCAUUGCUUUUGUUUCUCUGGAGAACCCUAAUAUAACCAGUAUUUAGUAAAUGUUUAAUGUGUGUUGAAUGACAAUUAUAGAGGAAAUCAGAAGUGGAGAGGAUGUAUGCAGAGGGAGCUGUGAGAAGUGGACAGCUGCCCACACUAACCAGUGAGACUAAAGACCCAGCCAAGUUCUUCAGGGAGAUUGCUUUGGUAGCUAUGGGAAUAAUAUGGACAAGCAAGCAAGUCAUCUGGACUCUUGAUGGGCUGAGAUGCCACGCUGGCAAGCAGGUGGUCAACCUCUAGGAGAUUCAACAAGCAUGCCUGUGAGGGUUCAGAGCGCUGUGUCAGGAAUGUGAUGGGAAGUAACAGGCAAAGGCAAAAUAUUACUGGUAUUAAGGAAAUGGCGUUAAAGAAAACGGACACUUCACUGUCUACUUGUGUCAGAGCUUCCCCAUGGUCAUUUAAUCUAACACGCCUGUAAGCUAAGUGUUCCUACUUUUUCAGAAAAAGAAAUGGAAACUAAGUAACAUGAAUUAACAUAGUCCAGGGUCACAAAGCAACAUGGAACAAGAACCUGGAUCUGAAUUCAGAGGCAGAAUGCUGGAGAUAGGGUCUUGUUCUGUCGCCCAGGCUUGGGUGCAAUGGCAUGAUCACAGCUCACUGCAGCCUCGAACUCCUGGGCUCUAGUGAUUCUCUUGCCUCAGCCUCCCUUGUAGUUGGACUACAGGUACAAAUCACCAUGUCUGGCUCUUGUUCUUUAACACAUGCUUGUAGCUCAAAACUAGUAGAAUUCCCUCUGAUACAUUUGUGAACCUCUGCUCCUACUACAAGUUUUAUGCUACUGAAGUCAGUUGCCUUUUUCUCAAACCUGCUUAUACCAAUUAAACUUGUUAUUGAAAUUAAUUAAUUAAAUAGGUAAACCAGUGAAAUAUGAAACAAAAGUCAGUCACUAAAGAAAUUACUGGCAAAUUAAGUAUAAGCAAAACAACUGCAAAAGUCUCGAAAAAGUGAGUAGAAAUUUACAGAUAUUUUGUUGGCAAAUGAAAUACAUUUGUAGUUUAAGUUAAAAUUUAAAAUUAAAGAUAUGUAUGUAUCAUUUUUAAAUUUCUCUGUUUAAAUUGACUUUUUCCCUUCACCAAUCACAAUAUCAGUGUUGGAUAAGGGAACUUUCACUAUAUCCUGUGUUGUAUUUGUAUGGUACUUUUGAUCAUUCUUUUAAUAAAAGCACAAUCUAUCUAGAAAAGCAAAAAUAAAGACUGGAGUCCAUGUUCUUUUAGUGACUCCAUUCAGCACUUUCAUGUGAAUUCUCAGUACUGCAUCUAUUACUACAUAUCUUCGUAAACUGUUCCUCUAACUCUUAGGGAGAAUAUGAUUCUUACAUACUAAAGUUUGUAUCAUGAACAUUUAUGGCUCACUUGUAUUCACAAGAUUAUGAGGAAUUAUGCAUUCAGGAGCAGGUUAGGUUGUCAUCAUCAUUGUUUUUUCAUGAUAAGCCAAUGUGUACAGCAUGUUAAUAGUUUUCUCUGUAAGGAAUCUUAGAAAUAGUUGAGUGCACUUCUCUAGUAUUAAAAACGAGUAAAUGGACAGGCAUAGUGGUGUGCACUUUUAGUCUCAGGUACUCAGAAGGCUGAGACAGGAGAACUGAUUGAGCACAAGAGUUCUGGGCUAUAGUGUGCUAUGCCAAGUGGGUGUCUGCACUAAGUUUGGCAUUAAUAUGGUAACCUCUCGGGACAGGGAACUACCAGGUUGCCUAAGGAGGGCUGAACUGGUCCAGGCUGGAAAUGGAGCAGGUCAAAAUUCCCAUGCUGAUCAGUAGUGGGAUGGCACCUGUGAAUAGCCACGGCCCUCCAGCCUGGGCAACAUAGCAAGACCCCAUCUGUCUCUAAUUUUUAAAAAAUGAGUAAACUGAGAACUAGGGUUAAAUAAACUUGCCCAAGGUAGAAAUUUAUUGAAAUAAAAUUAAGGGAAAUGUUUAUAUAGCCCUUAACAUUAUGUCUUCUCCAUGAUAUAUAACACUUUAAAUCCAAGGAUCUCAAAACACUUUUAAAUCAGAUCAUUAAUUCUUCUGAUAUCUAUGUAUCAAAUUAUUCUGUUUUCUACCAGCUGGUUGUCCCUUGUCAGACUAAAAGUCAACAUUUUCUUUGUGGAUGAAUCAAUUGAGAGUUGCAUUCAUCUGGGAAUAACAAGGGUUCACCUGAAAAACGAGGGUUAUUUUUAUCACAUAUGUCUGAGGUAGUCAGUCCAGGCCUCAUCUGUCCACUGUGUACUUCAUAAUGUCAUCAGGAACAUUAAGCUUUCUCUGUUUUCUUGUUCAGCCAUUCUCAAUAUGUGUUUGUCAACUCAUAAUUACCUAAUUCACCUCAAGUAUUGUAGGUUUGGUUUGGUAGAAGUAAUAGGAAGGAGAAAAGAAAGCAUGCCAGCUGAGCUGGCCUUCCUUUAAAAAAGAGAUUUUUCUGGCUCACACCUGUAAUCCCAGCACUAUGGGGAGGCCAAGUUGGGUGGAUUGCCUGAGGUCAGGAGUUCGAGACUAGCCUGACCUACAUGGUGAAACAUCAUCUCUACUAAACAUACAAAAAUUAGUCAGGUGUGGUGGUGGGUGCCUGUAAGCUACUUGGGAGGCUGAGGCAGGAGAAUCGCUUGAACCCAGGAGGCAGAGGUUGCAGUGAGCCGAGACCGGGCCAUUGCACUUUAGCCUGGGCAACAGGAGCAAAACUCCGUCUCAAAAAAAAGAAAACGAGAUUUUCUAGAACUGUGCCUAAGUGUCCAACUAUUGAUCUGAUUUGCCAACUAUAUCACGUGGCCAUUUCCAUUUGCACAGGAGGCUGGGAAAUGUAGUUUUUGGCUGCACAUAUGGCCACCUCCAACCAAACUGAGGCAAUUAGUAAGGAAGGCGAGGAUAGGUGUCGGGCGACUGGUGAUCUUUGUCACUGCAGGGCUGUUGCCAAGAUUAGAAAGAAUGCAUGUGUGGUUCCUGGCUUAUACCUGUCAUCUAGUAGAUGCUGAAGAACAGGGAGCUCUUAUUUUGUUAGAAAAGAUAAAACAAGUGGUAAUGUUUCCAAAUUUCUUUCAUAGUAAUUGUGCAGUGUUUUCAUACAUGCAAUGAAUUCAAUGUGGUAAUAAGAUAACUUUUACUAGAAGAACAAAUUUUUACUAAACUGCCAUUUUGCACUAAAAUACUGGUACCACAACUUUUAAAAACUAAUUUGAUUAACCAGAUUAUCAUUUGAACAAUGGACAAUGAAUGUGCACUACAGUCUCAAAAAUUUUAAAAUAUAAGUAACUUUUUCCUCUACUUGUGUUUUAUGAAUUGGAAAAUAUUUGUUUAUUGUACAGUCACAUAAUGAUGUUUCCAUCAUGGAUGCACCA